rnacentral:pre_miRNA from 1 species
AUAAGAAUCACCUGAAGUUCUUGUUAAAAUGCACAUUUUGACUCAGUGGUUCUUGGAAUUGGCCUGAGUCCUGCAUUUACAGCAAGCUCCUGGGUGAUGCCAAU